rnacentral:rRNA from 1 species
GAUGAACGCUGGCGGCGUGCCUAAUACAUGCAAGUCGAGCGACCAGAUAAUGAGCUUGCUCCUCUGACGGUAGCGGCGGACGGGUGAGUAACACGUGGAUAACCUACCUCUAAUACUGGGAUAACUACGGGAAACCGGAGCUACUACCAGCUAAUAUAUUGUACCGCAGGAUUCAAUGGUGAAAGACGCCUUUCCCGUCUCAUAUAGCCGGAUCCGGGCCGCAUUAGCUAGUUGGUAAGGUAACGGCUUACCAAGGCAACGAUGCGUAGCCGACCUGAGAGGGUGAUCGGCCACACUGGAACUGAGACACGGUCCAGACUCCUACGGGAGGCAGCAGUAGGGAAUCUUCCGCAAUGGGCGAAAGCCUGACGGAGCAACGCCGCGUGAGUGAUGAAGGUCUUCGGAUCGUAAAACUCUGUUAUUAGGGAAGAACAAAUGUGUAAGUAACUAUGCACGUCUUGACGGUACCUAAUCAGAAAGCCACGGCUAACUACGUG